GAGUUUUGCCUCACAGUUCUGGGAACUCCACCCAGGCCCCAGGAAGAAACAGAUGAAAAAGAUAAUACCAAAAGGUUCUUAUUUCAUUACUCGAAGACACAGAAGUUGGGCAAUUCAAACGUUGGGUCGUCUGUCCUGCAUCCUUUGCUGCAACUCAUUCCUCAACUGCACGAGAGAAGAAUGAA